rnacentral:sRNA from 1 species
CUUUUGUUGCUUCUCCUGCUGUGGUUGCUCCUGCUUUUGCGGAGAAUUUAUCUGUUGCUGCUGGAGGAGGGAUUGUUGUGCUUGUAAAAUAGGUGGAACACUUACGCUUUGAAUGAGUGGCUUCGUGUCGAGCAGUGCGGCGGCAGCCGCUGCCGCUGCAUUUGCGUCCAUGCUGCUGUUGCUGCUGCUGCUGUUUGUACCGGAGCUGCUGCUGCUGCUCAUGGGACGCGCUAGAUGCACGGCUGCUGCGGCAGCAGCAGCGGCGGCCGCUGCGGCAGCAGCAGCCGCUGCCGUGGGCGAUGGUAGCGACAUGUUGCU